AGUUGGCGGUGUAACGGACCACCAAGACGACGAUGCGUAGGGGUUCUGAGAGGAAGGUCCCCCACACUGGUACUGAGACACGGACCAGACUCCUACGGGAGGCAGCAGUGAGGAAUAUUGGUCAAUGGGCGGGAGCCUGAACCAGCCAAGUCGCGUGAGGGAUGACGGCCCUAUGGGUUGUAAACCUCUUUUGCCGGGGAGCAAAGUGCCGCACGUGUGCGGUUUGGAGAGUACCCGGAGAAAAAGCAUCGGCUAACUCCGUGCCAGCAGCCGCGGUAAUACGGAGGAUGCGAGCGUUAUCCGGAUUUAUUGGGUUUAAAGGGUGCGUAGGCGGACGCUUAAGUCAGCGGUAAAAUUGCGGGGCUCAACCUCGUCGAGCCGUUGAAACUGGGUGCCUUGAGUGGGCGAGAAGUACGCGGAAUGCGUGGUGUAGCGGUGAAAUGCAUAGAUAUCACGCAGAACUCCGAUUGCGAAGGCAGCGUACCGGCGCCCAACUGACGCUGAAGCACGAAGGCGUGGGUAUCGAACAGGAUUAGAUACCCUGGUAGUCCACGCAGUAAACG
rnacentral:rRNA from 1 species